rnacentral:rRNA from 1 species
GACGAACGCUGGCGGCGUGCUUAACACAUGCAAGUCGAACGGAAAGGCCUCCUUUUGGGGUACGCUAGUGGCUAACGGGUUAGUAACACGUUAGUAACCUACCCUUUACUCUGGGAUAACUUCAGGUAACUGGCGCUGAUACCGGAUAGGAGCUCCUGCUGCAUUGCGGGGUGUGGAAAGUUGCGGCGGUUGGGGAUGGACUCGCGGCUGAUGAGCUUGUUGGUGGGGCAGUGGCUCACCAAGGCUUUGACGGGUAGCCGGCCUGAGAGGGUGAACGGCCACAUUGGGACUGAGAUACGGCACAGAGUCCUACGGGAGGCAGCAGUGGGGAAUAGUGCACAAUGGGCGGAAGCCUGAUGCAGCAACGCCGCGUGCGGGAUGACGGCCUUCGGGUUGUAAACCGCUUUCGCCUGUGACGAAGCGUGAGUGACGGUAAUGGGUAAAGAAGAACCGGCUAACUACGUG